UACGGAGGGGGCUAGCGUUGUUCGGAAUCACUGGGCGUAAAGCGCACGUAGGCGGCUUUGCAAGUCAGAGGUGGAAGCCCGGGGCUCAACCCCGGAAUAGCCUUUGAGACUGCAUGGCUUGAACGUCGGAGAGGUGAGUGGAAUUCCGAGUGUAGAGGUGAAAUUCGUAGAUAUUCGGAAGAACACCAGUGGCGAAGGCGGCUCACUGGACGACUGUUGACGCUGAGGUGCGAAAGCGUGGGGAGCAAACAGG
rnacentral:rRNA from 1 species